rnacentral:rRNA from 1 species
CAGUCGCCGCGGUAAUACGGAGGGUGCAAGCGUUAAUCGGAAUUACUGGGCGUAAAGCGCACGCAGGCGGUCUGUCAAGUCAGAUGUGAAAUCCCCGGGCUUAACCUGGGAACUGCAUUUGAAACUGGCAGGCUAGAGUCUUGUAGAGGGGGGUAGAAUUCCAGUUGUAGCGGUGAAAUGCGUAGAGAUCUGGAGGAAUACCGGUGGCGAAGGCGGCCCCCUGUACAAAGACUGACGCUCAGGUGCGAAAGCGUGGGGAGCAAACAGGAUUAGAUACCCGCGUAGUCCCUGUCUCUUAUAC